CACACACGUAUUUACCGCAUUACCCCGGGACGCCCUGGAACGCAGGCAACGAGCUCAUUUAAAAAGAAAGGAUCGUAAUAGCCUGAAGAGAGUUAAACUGUGGAACUGACAGCAGCUAGAUGUCUACUGAAAUAACCAGCCAUCUGCAGGGACACAAGGCUUUGUCCAGCAUGGGUGUGCCCGCAUGACACUGGGCCACCUUUCCCCAGUUUGUCUCACCUAUUACAAUGCAGACAAGAGAAGGAAAAUGAAGGCAGCAGCAUUAAAGGAAGAAAAGACAGAAACCCUUUUCAGACACUUUUAAAAACAAGACACAAACAUCCGGAACAUUUCCUUUGCAUCACUGCAAAAGUAACCCUAAAUGCCAAUUCUUCUUCAUUAAAACAGUGAAAAUCCUUUUACAAAUUUAAACACACAGUCUCUGUUAAGAAAACUUCCACUGCAAUAUGCCUUUAGCUAUUUAAAAACCAAAACCACCC